rnacentral:lncRNA from 1 species
AACCUGUGACUUGUGGAAUACAUGGGCUAUUUUGAAGAAGAUCAUGGAUUGGAUAAGCUUGGAUAUGGCCAUAUUUAUUUGAUGCCUGUCUCUUCAAGAUAAUAUAAUUGUGCAUUCGUGUGUUGCUUGAUUCCAAAAGUCCAAGGGAAUUCUGGGUUUCUAUUGACAUUCUUGUCUAUUGCAUUGCUACCCACUUGGUCAGAUCUUUUCAACUCUAAACUUUUAAAUUUUGUACAUAGGGUAGUCAUUUC